rnacentral:tRNA from 1 species
GGAGCGGUAGUUCAGCUGGUUAGAACGCCUGCCUGUCACGCAGGAGGUCGCGGGUUCGAGUCCCGUCCGUUCCGCCA